UUGCUUGUAUAUAAUAGCCAAGUUGUUGAAGGGCACAGAUAUCCCUGUUGUAACUGCUAAAAUUGCCUUAUAGAAUGAUGCAGCAACACUCAUCAUAUUACUGCAUGAAGAGAAGUUUCAUUAAGGAACAAAAAUAAACUAUCCGCACAGUUGUCAUCAAACAUUUCUAAAGCUUACCAAUCCAUGUAUAUAUAUGUUGCCAAGGCUUGACAAUGCUUGUGGAUGGUUAGGUUGUAAAGCAAAGCAUGACUUGGGAAAAAUUAUUAAAAUGAAGUUAUUCAACAAGGAAAAAAACAACUUGUUAUUAUCUCCCUGAUUUCAGGAUCAUAUGAUUCCAGUUUCAGAACUAAAAUUCUUUCAAAUCCGUAACAUUCUGAACGGUUGGGUUUUUUCUGCAGUUGGGCCCUGUACUUCAAAAGACGGUAGAAUCUUUUCGUCUCCUCCCUCCUACGGAAAAUUAUGUUCCCCCAUUUAAGGACCCUUGGAGGUUUUGGUGACGACUACAAUGUUUUGGAAUGAGCACUGCAUCAUCUACUGGGGAUCUUUAACUAUGCUUUAUUUCUGAAGCAGCUACAUCA